AUUGAACGCUGGCGGCAGGCCUAACACAUGCAAGUCGAGCGAGCGGCGAACGGGUGCGUAAUGUCUGGGAAACUGCCGGAAGGCUGGGGAUAACUACUGGAAACGGUAGCUAAUAACGCAUACAAUCAGCUGUCGCCCGAUGGGAUUAGCUAGUCGGGGGGGUAAUGGCUCACCUAGGCGACGAUCCCUAGCUGGUCUGAGAGGAUGACCAGCCACACUGGAACUGAGACACGGUCCAGACUCCUACGGGAGGCAGCAGUGGGGAAUAUUGCGCAAUGGGCGCAAGCCUGAUGAAGCCAUGCCGCGUGUGUGAAGAAGGCCUUCGGGUCGUAAAGCACUUUCAGCGGUGAGGCGUUACCCGCAGAAGAAGCAACGGCUAACUCCGUGCCAGCAGCCGCGGUAAUAC
rnacentral:rRNA from 1 species